rnacentral:lncRNA from 1 species
UUGCGGUAAUCCACGCAGAACCUUGUGGUACCGUCCUUUUUAGGAACCAGGACCACUGGGGAAGCCCACGGCUUUGAGACGGCUCUAUUACUCCCAGUUCUAACAUAUCCUGGAUUUUUUUUUUUUUUAACAGAACAAUAACUUUAUUAACAAUAUAUAUAACGUCAUAUUUCCUUAGGGUAGAAUUAGAACAGGCUAACAAUUCUGUGGGUUUAACUAUUGAAUAUCAAGGUCAGGCGUAGCAGGUUUAAGACAAUUUGUGCAUUGAGUGAACAGUACACAGCCAGUAAUCUUUAAUAAUGGCAAUAUCAAUGCUUGUUGAGUACGUUUCCCAUGAUGCUCAGCUUGUGGUAAAUGGGACACGCACUCUCCAAACAUCAGUGCAGUUACUGUCAAAACUAGCGACCACAGUAAAAUAAAAAAAAGUUAUAGGUCCUUUCACUUGUCAUCCACACAGAGAAUAUGAUUUACUAGCCUACACCUAUUGAUUGAAACCAGGGGUGCCCAAAAGGUAGAUCCCCAGUCUUCAUAGAACCACAACUCCCACGAUGCUUAGCAUGCCUUUAGAAUGACAAAGCAUCAUGGAAACAGCAGCUCAAAAACAUCCGGGGAUCCACCCUUUGGGCCCCCCUGAUUGAAACCAUUCUGUUAGAUUAUAUUUCAAUAAACACAAGCUACAUCACGUGUGUGCAACUUUAUCACGGAUGUCAUAUCUUAGCAGUGCACUUCUCAUGUAACAAAUCUACACAACGUUAUAAACCACAAAUCUCAGUAGUAAAUAUUUGUAAUAACAGUUACACAUGAAAGUUAAAUUGAAAACGCAAAGUUUAACUGUUUGAGUACCAGAUGAUGAGGCACCAGUCGAGUUUUUGGACCUGCACAGCCAACUGCAUGACUCUAGCCAGACUAGGAAAGACGUAGUUCAUUAUAACCCAGGCCAACAUUGUCCUUAGUAGUGGGUGAGUGUGCCGGUUGAAGAAUUGAUGCCCAAACAGAGCUGGAGAUAAUGUGGGGAGCUUAGACUUUGAAGUUCUGUAUAAAGAGCAAUACUUGAGUUUCCAUGGAGAUAUCCCCACGUUUAGAAAUUUGCACCAAAAUUGCCCUUUAUAAAUACCCUUUGCAGUCAGACAUGGUAAAUCUUAUGAAAAUUUUAAAAUGAUCUAGCAUCUUCUUUUUAUGAACAAGGGAGAGAGAGAAGGCUCUCCAGCUUUUUCCUGCUUAGUAAAUCACUUUCAAUAUACUAUAAACCUUCCUCUUGCUGGUAAAUAUUUUAGCACCAUUUGAAUCUAAGCAGAUUGCGUGCACAGCAAAAUAUUUUAAAGGGAUUCUAUAGUGUUAGGGAUACAAAUCUGUAUUCCUAACCCUAUAGUGCCCUCUGGUCCCCCUUGCACCCCCCGAACACCUGAAACUUAGCAAAAUUAAAUCUGAAUUUCCAAAUUUAGCCUACAAUAGACAAGCUCUGACUACAGCUGAGUUGGUGAAUGCUUUCAGAUCAGCUAUUUUUGUCUACUCUAGAUGCAAUAAGGCUUUCACUUCACUUCAAAUCAGAGUUUAGCGAAUAACCCCCUUACUGUCUCAGAUUGUACAAACAGGUGCAGUGCAGAGGUUAUCUGCCCCCUCUGUCAGCCCAUCCCUGGCACAGGUGGUACUCUGUCAGUACUAGAGGGAUUUGUUAAAGGAGGAUAACACGGGGCCCCAUUAUCAGAAUGACACCAAGCUUGUACCUCAUUGGCAGCCAGUCAUGCAAUGUGCCGGGAUAAUGCCAUGUUGGCUAACAGAAAAUAUUUUUUUCUUGUUAAACUUUGACAGUACAUGUAUAUAUAUAGUGAUAUGUAUAAUG